AUAAGAAAUGACCCAUACAAUGUGCCAAACCAAAGUGCAGCAUGAGGAGACAGUGCAGCAUGUGACGGUAGCAACAGCUGAGAAGAUUUGGGUCUGUGGUGACCAGGUCCACCUCACACAAACUGCCUUCUCCCACUUUCUCUCUUUACUUCUCCACACAAACAC